rnacentral:lncRNA from 1 species
AUCUUUAAAUGGAAAGGGCUUACACCUUUGUGACUUAGCUGUGGCCAGUGCUUUCUGGCAUUCAUUGUACACCCUUCACCCAGGAAUAGCUGGGGUUGAGGAAGUUAUGAGUCCUCUACAGAAAGUAUUACACUUCGAAAAGUAUUGCUUCAAAUUGAUUUCUUAUUAUAUUUCUAAAAAGCGAUUUUGUAUUCUCUUCUGAAUUGACCAAAAUGCUCAAUGUUCUAUUUGGGGGAGGGGAGGGAUGCUUCUCUGGCUGUCAUCUUCGUUGCUGCUGUAGCUGUUAGGGUUCCUUUUUUUCCCUCUGCUGGGGCUGUGUGGGGAGUGGGAGGGGCGGGAGGCGGGGGGCUAAGGAGAAAUCUUCCCUUUGUACAGGGUCUCCGUGUUGUGAACCCGGAGCCAGGGUAGAAGCUGCUUUUGUGUUCAGUGUGAGCUGGUGUUUACAGCAGAUUUUGACAACAGUGGAAGUGUACUCAGUGGUGUCUGUGUUUCUGAACUAUUUAAUUUUGUGUUCUGUUUAUAUGAAGAUAUAUUUAUGCAUAUUUCACCAAGUGUCUAUUUAAUGUUGAUAAAUAUUACUCUUCAGUCUUCAGCAGUGGUGUCCCUUGAAAGUGCUUCUUUAAGGUCCACUUGAGCAAUGAGUAGGGUCUCUCGAGCUUUCUUGUGGCUAAGAAGAGGAAAAAGCCUGUUGGUGUUGGUGUUGGGAGGAACCUAACUCUUUCCAGGUAAUAAAAAAGUCAACUGUGACUUUAGCAUAACAGCUUAAUUCCCUUCUCGUUAAACCUGAUGGAAACUGGUCAAAGCAACCCUCCGCCAGUGUGUUUGAAAUCACAUUACAAGGGGAAGAAAGGCAAAUCAGUAUAAUGGAAAGAAUGAUUUUUUUUUUGGCCCACACUUGACCAAAAAAUAAGAAAAAAACAGGAACUAUUUUCUAACGUGCAUAGCAAACUGCAGAAUGUUAUGUUAUCCACCUGUGAAAUGUCUAGGAAGCAACUGCAUCUAUAUUGAUAUUACUCAAGUUGGCCUGGCACUAACUAAUACAUUUGUGAAUGCUGAUUCAUGUCUUCCUGUACAUCAGUAAUUCGCAUUCUCUUUGAAAGUCCUAUCUUGCCUCCUUUUCAAAAGGCUAUUUCCUAUAUUCUUUUUAAAAAUAGAGAAUUAAAUUUAAGAAACAGACAAAUCGUGAGUUUUGGCAAAACUGAGAAGGUCAGUAACAAUUCUCCUUAAACAUGAUUAUCUCCUGAUCCUUGUCCUCUUAUGAUGCUUUCUUUUCUUAGGAAGAAAAGAAAGAAGUCUGGAACAUCAGCUCUCCUUUUCUGUUACUGGUUUAAUUAUCUAAGUGGUUUUAAAUCUCUCGUGGAUGAAAACUGCUUUUAAGUAUUGUCUACUGACCCUGACUAUAGAAAUGUGGGUCCAACUCUUAGGUCAUUUUCAAAAAAAGGAAAAUAAGAAAACCUGAUUCUUUUGAAUAUGCAGAGUUUAGAAGUGUAAUCAAAGAUGUAGUGAAGUGUAUAUAACCAGACAUAACUACACAUAUAUUUCUCAAAGGAUUUGUCACCAGAAAAGGUAUUCAGCAUUUACAUAAAAUCAAAAUGUCUUCAUCCUCAAAAUGGGACUCAAACUGUUUUAUCCCAUGUGAGUGAGGUUUGCAGUGCUUUCAUGAUUAUGCACUUCCAUCAAAAGAGGAAAAUCGUCAAAUCUAAGUAAGCUAUAGGUGAAGAUGCCACCGCCCACCACAUACAUACACACACCCACACCCAUAGCCACCCCCACCCCCCCAUUCUCUAUCCUCCAAGGUCUACCUGAUGGAUAAGAGAAGAGAGCUCUCUGGUCCUCUGUUCCCUUUGGCUCUGUUCUCUUUGGCCCACCACCUUCAUGAUGGAACCAUGAAGACCUGUGGUCUUUCUGCUAGUUCACCAUAUUGUCCUGAAUCAUCCUUGACUUCAGAUUUAGCCUUGACUCUCCAGAUAAGUUCCAUUUCUAUUCACCCUUUCACACGUAAUAGUUCUAGAUUCUGACAGAAAGACAAUAGGCAGAAAGCAUAAGCCACUAGAAGCUGCAGUGGCUGAAGAUCUAGAAGUCAUAGCAGCUUUCUCUGCCACCGCCUUGUGUGCAGACGGGCAAUUCACGGCCCUGGGAAGGCCUGAGAGCCCUUUGUGCAUCACAUGUGAGACGGGGGAGGGCACGGCUCUGAUACAGUCAGCUGCCUCUAGUCUUAGGAAGGAGAAGGAUGGCAAGGCUCAGGCACAGUGAAGGCGCCUUGUGGAGAAAACAUGAGACAAAGGAAGAGCCUGGGGGGCAUUCCUGGCGCCCUGUUCUUAUCUGAGUAGAGGGGAUUCCCAGAUGAGGACACACGACUCGGAAAUGGGACAAUCCAUCACAGCAGCUUUGGGGGACAAGCGCAAGUGUCAUGAAGAAGCUCUGAACGGAGCACAAGGAGCCCUGAGCUCUCAGCCCAGUUCUGUCACCAGGGAAUGAACAUGUCCCCUGCCUUGCAUGUCACUUACCCUUUAACCCACUGGCUUUUCAUGAGUUCAUGCUCAUACUCAUAAACAAUCUGAAAGCACCUUAAUUGGCUUUCUAAUAGUAAAAAAGUCAAAUUGAGGCAGAGCGUUAGGUGAAUAACUGCAACGAUGAGUGUAGAUUGUAUGUCCAAUGAACACUUGAAAAAUUCUCAUUUUAUAUAUCCAUCAGAGUUGUUUACUUAUAUUUCAAUACAACAAAAUCUAAGGAGUUCUCAUGAUUUGUUGGUAAACUUGGAAUUCUAUUGUUUCAAAUACCACUUCAGGCCAGGACAAUCACUUGAGGCCUCACAACUGUAUGUAAGUGGAAUUGCUGGAUAGUGGGCGUUUGUUUUGGUCUCUCAGUGGUAUGUCUUGAAACAAACUGAGACUUUAUAGAAUACAUCGCCCAAAACAUCCUUUCUUCGAUCUAACAAUCCCCCUUCCACCACCUUCUCCAAAAGAGUAUUUUUUCCUUACAUGUAAAGUGCAACAAACUUAAUUCAACCGUGUAAACUUUAGCCCAUACUAGGUUCCAGGACAAUUUUACUGCUUCCCUCUAUGUAAGUUAUGUCGUCUCUUCUUGUGUUUUCACGACUCUGUUUUGUAGGAAUUCAGCCUCUACCAGGAUUAAUGCUGUGUGAGUAAAUAUUCCAAACCUUAGGAACUGGUUCCAGGGACAGGAGCCCAGGGCGCUUUUAGAACUGGGAAUUCCAUUUUAUUUUCCUUUUUUUGUUGUUGUUGGUUUGUUUGGUUUUUGCUUUUUGUUUGUUUGUUUGUUUGUUUGUUUGUUUGUUUAGGGCCAUUCCUGCAGCAUAUGGAAGUUUCCCAGGCUAGGGGUCCCAUAGGAGAUGUAGCUGCCAGCCUACACCACAGCCACAACAAUGCAGGAUCUGAGCUACACCUGUGAUGUAGAGCUGCAGUCAUGGCAGCACUGGAUCCUUAACACACUGAGCAAGGCCAGGGAUCAAACCCAUGUCCUCGUGGAUACUAAUUGUGUUUGAAACCUGCUGAACCACAGCAGAAACUCCCCCAUUUUCUUUUUCUGGCUUUAGUGUCACUGCCUGAGAAAGGAAACUCAUGUUGAGAUUAAAAAUGAACAAAGAAAAACAAGUUCAUAAAGUGACUGUGUUCAAUAUAAGUUUGUGACUGCAUAAUAUUGUCGCCAGGCUCCAAAAUGGACAAGUGUUAGUAUUGUUAAUUGGACAUACGUUACACUCACAGCUUCACACACCUUGAUCAACAUUGCACUUGGCAUGUGGACAUGGACACCCAAACACUUUGGUAGACUGUUAGGACUAUAGUUGCUCUAGUAGAACCACAAAGACUCAGCACAGAGUUCUGACACUGCCACUCUUGGCCUGGGCUGAGAACACCCCAAGUAAUCACCCAGAUCCAAGGAGGCUCUCAUCUGAGUUGCACCAGAUGAGAGGUAAAUGGAAAGGGAGGCCAUAUUCUCGAUUGCAAAGAGGUAUUAGUAACACUUCUGUCACCCAAACAACUCUAUCUUAAACUUAAAAGAUUAUCUCCAGGAUAUAAACAUUUAUUCUUGUUCUUUCUUGGAGUCCAAAAUACUUAGCAAUUCUGAAAUUUCCAUACCAAACCCCAAACUAUGUUUAUCCUAUAUUCUGUGACUUUUUUGAUGAUAGAAAGUGGGUGUUAUUCAUUCUGUGGCUGGCAUAUGAUCUGUCAAACAGUAGACAUUCAAUAAAUGUGGUUGAAUGUUAUAAUUAAUAUAGCAAAUAUUUGUCAGAAUUAUAUGCUCCACACUUCAAGUGUAGCCAGAGGUCAUUGAGCUGGGAAAGUAAAGGAAAUUUGGUUCAUUAAUAUGACAGUUUUCAAAUAAACUAUUACAAAGCAAUAAGGGGAAAUAUUUUAAUAGAUUUGAAGUAGUAAAUAUGAUGAGGACAGGAAGGGGAAAAAUCGACUCUUUCCUUUAUCCCUAGAAUUUGGAAACUUUUUACCAGAUUGGUCAACUCUACUUUAUUCUAUUAAGAGAAGUAUUGAGUGUUUAUAAAUAUAAGUCUUAUGUUUGUACAGGUGAAGUUCUGUAGUUUGGCUUAAAACAUCUUUGCAUGAAGUUUUGCUUGGCAUGAAAGGAGAGAUUCCAUUCUGUUCUGCAAGCAUUAAACAAAAGUUCUAUCUUAUGUUCAUUCCUCAUAUAGCACAUGGGUAUUUUCAUCCCCCUACGUACAACACUCCAAAGAAAUUUCUUUGGAGCUUAUGCAUAGGACUAUGGGAAGGCAACAUUUUGAGCAAUGCCCGCCCCCCCUUUUUCAAACACACAGGAACUGUCUCUAAGUUUGGUGCAGGUUUGAGGAAUAAUUAAAUUAGGCUUCCAUGUUGGUGAAUCAGCAUAUUGAUUUUUCUUGGCAGAAAGCUUUCUGGAAAAUGUCUAUGAAAUGUUUAGUGACUCACAUCCUUGUAAUUCAUGAGGGUGUAGAAACCACUGUCCAAAGAGAUGGCUAUAUAUUUGCUUUGUAAGCAAAAGGCAUGUAUCAUAGUUGCAUCUAAAAUAGCGUCCCAUCUUUAUCAAAGGCACUGAGUUUUACCUGUUUUUAUUUCCUAGUGUCCUAUUUCCUCAGUAGUCAUUUUAGAUAUGUCAUAUGCUAUUUUUAUUCCUUUGCCUACAAAUAAGUCAAUUGUCUGUACUAUAAAAUGAUGCCUGCAACUUUGUGGUGAUAUUAUCCCCUAAGUUUAAUAGUGAAAUAAGGAA